rnacentral:rRNA from 1 species
GCAGGCUCGCGCUUGAAUACAUUAGCAUGGAAUAAUGAAAUAGGACGUUCGAUCCUAUUUUGUUGGUUUCUAGGAUUGACGUAAUGAUUAAUAGGGAUAGUUGGGGGCAUUAGUAUUCAAUUGUCAGAGGUGAAAUUCUUGGAUUUAUUGAAGACUAACUACUGCGAAAGCAUUUGCCAAGGAUGUUUUCAUUAAUCAAGAACGAAAGUUAGGGGAUCGAAGACGAUCAGAUACCGUCGUAGUCUUAACCAUAAACUAUGCCGACUAGGGAUCGGAUGAUGUUAUUUUUAAUGACUCAUUCGGCGCCUUACGGGAAACCAAGGUGUUUGGGUUCCGGGGGGAGUAUGGUCGCAAGGCUGAAACUUAAAGGAAUUGACGGAAGGGCACCACCAGGGGUGGAGCCUGCG